ACCUCGGGAGGUUUGCAGCCUCGUGGAGUCUCCUGAGUCACCAGGGAGGAGCUGCCUUGUUGGGCGGAGCGCCGAGGAGGGCGCGCUGGUCGGUGGGCCGCACGGUCCCUCGCGUGUUCUGCGCUGUUGCCUGUUUCAUUCCCCACCUUCCCUGACAGUGUUUGGACAGGACGUACUUUACUAAAGGGUCCGUGGAUUCAGGGGCCCCACGACAUCACAUCAUAGAUGCACUGGAUGGUUUGUUCCGGGUUCAGGCUUGUUUCUGGGGAGAAAAUGUGACAAAUUCAGAAGAACGGGAGCUGCAUUCAGUUAGGACGUGAAAUGCUCACUCUCAGGACCUUCUAGAAGAAUGAGCCGGGAGCCACUUUCCGACUCCUGGAACCAGAGACCGAGACUCCUCCCAGCUGGCACAUUAUCGUCAGUCAUCCUGUCUCCUUGGACUCUACUUGGCCAUGAUGAUUUUUAGAUUUUCCAUAUUUUUCAUGACCUGCAAAGUUUUGAGAGGUGACUUCAGGUCCAAAGUGGGUCACUUGUAGACGGCAUGUGAAUCUGUUUGGUUUGUUCAUCCCUUCUUACACCCUCUGUUUCUGGAUUGGAGCAUUCGUUCCAUUUACUUUCAAGGCAUCCAGUAAACACAUCCAGAUUAAAAAAGUCUACGGACAUGGCACAUCACUGUGGCCAGGAGGCAGUGUCCUCUCCCAGCAGAAGGCAGGCCUUGCCCGACACAGAUCCUGUCCCAGCCCAGAAGAGUGAGGCCCCUUCGUGACCUGCUUUGGAAGCGCAGGAACACGGGGGACGGGCAGGACAAACAACACAUGGGGCCCAGCGCGGGCAGGACAGUGUCCAGCCGGCUGCAGAGACGAGCUUUACAGACCCUCCGCCCUCAGAGACCAGGUACAGCAGCCCGGCCCCGCGUGCUCACACACCGAGUGUACUGUCACUGUCCAGGCUUUACGGGGCUGCCCUGAGAAACACGGGGUCUGCGCACAGCUGACAUGAGGCCAGAGACGCCUCUACACCUCCUGGGGCUGCUUCCCGCACGCCGAAGGGGACAAGAUGAAAGUCUUUCUCUCACGACAAACACUCUGUACGUGGAAAUUAAAAUAUAUAUAUAUAUAUAUAUAUAUAUAUAUAUAUAUAUUAAUGGAAGUCUGUCAACGAGGCCUGCUCUUCACAGAGGCUGCAGGCUCUGGAGACUGAAGAAAUUCAUAUGGGUCAUGGGUCACCUCUGACUGCUCCCCAACACUGAGGC